GGCCGGUUAGCUCAGUUGGGUGGAGCGUGGUGCUAAUGACGCCAAGGUCGUGGGUUCGUUCCCCAUACUGGCCA
rfam:Salmo salar isolate Sally breed double haploid chromosome ssa27, whole genome shotgun sequence.